UGCCAGACUCCUACGGGAGGCAGCAGUGGGGAAUAUUGGGCAAUGGACGCAAGUCUGACCCAGCAACGCCGCGUGAAGGAAGAAGGCUUUCGGGUUGUAAACUUCUUUUAAGGGGGAAGAGUAGAAGACGGUACCCCUUGAAUAAGCCACGGCUAACUACGUGCCAGCAGCCGCGGUCAUACGUAGGAUCCGAGCAUUAUCCGGAGUGACUGGGUGUAAAGAGUUGCGUAGGUGGCAUAAUAAGUAGCUAGUGAAAUCUGGUGGCUCAACCAUUCAGACUAUUAGCUAAACUGUUAAGCUCGAGACCGUUAGGGGUAACUGGAAUUUCUAGUGUAGGGUUGAAAUCCGUAGAUAUUAGAAGGAACACCAAUAGCGUAGGCAGGUUACUGGGACGGUUCUGACACUAAGGCACGAAAGCGUAGGGAGCAAACGGGAUUAGAUACCCCUGUA
rnacentral:rRNA from 1 species